GAUGAACGCUAGCGGGAGGCUUAACACAUGCAAGUCGAGGGGCAGCAUAAGGUAGCAAUACUUUGAUGGCGACCGGCGCACGGGUGAGUAACGCGUAUGUAACCUGUCCUUAACAGGAGGAUAACCCGGAGAAAUUCGGACUAAUACUGCAUAAGAUUAUGAAUAGGCAUCUAUUAAUAAUUAAAGCUACGGCGGUUAGGGAGGGGCAUGCGUAACAUUAGCUGGUUGGUAGGGUAACGGCCUACCAAGGCAAUGAUGUUUAGGGGACCUGAGAGGGUUGUCCCCCACACUGGUACUGAGACACGGACCAGACUCCUACGGGAGGCAGCAGUGAGGAAUAUUGGUCAAUGGGCGCAAGCCUGAACCAGCCAUCCCGCGUGAAGGAAGAAUGCGCUACGCGUUGUAAACUUCUUUUCCAGGGGGAGAAUAAUCCUGUCGUGACAGGACUUGACGGUACUCUGGGAAUAAGCAUCGGCUAACUCCGUGCCAGCAGCCGCGGUAAACGU
rnacentral:rRNA from 1 species